AAAUAAGAAGCAAAAUUUGCAUUUAGUUUCGACCUAAAAAUUUGGUAAUUUAUACCCUUAUUUU
rnacentral:tRNA from 1 species